GCCGGGCGUGGUGGCGCAUGCCUGUAAUCCCAGCUACUCAGGAGGCUGAGGCGGGAGAAUUGCUGGAACCCAGGAGGCGGAGAUUGCAGUGAGCCGAGAUCGUGCCACUGCACUCCAGCCUGGGUGACAGAGCAAGACUCUGUCUCAA
rnacentral:sRNA from 1 species